UGAGGAAUAUUGGGCAAUGCCCGCAAGGGUGACCCAGCAACGCCGCGUGGAGGAUGAAUGUCGUAAGAUUGUAAACUCCUGUUAGAGGGGAAGAAUAGUACCGGUUGGACCGGUAUAUGACUGUACCCUCAGAGAAAGCCCCGGCUAACUACGUGCCAGCAGCCGCGGUAAUACGUAGGGGGCACGCGUGGUCCGGAUUUACUGGGUGUAAAGGGCGCGCAGGCGGGAUAAAAAGUCAGUGGUGAAAUCCUACAGCUUAACUGUAGAACUGCCUUUGAUACUUUUAUUCUUGAGUUCGGGAGAGAGAGACGGAAUUCCAGGUGUAGUGGUGAAAUACGUAGAUAUCUGGAAGAACACCAGUUGCGAAGGCGGUCUCUUGGUCCGACACUGACGCUGAGGCGCGAAAGCGUGGGGAGCAAACA
rnacentral:rRNA from 1 species